rnacentral:tRNA from 1 species
GGAGAAGUACCCAAGUGGUCGAAGGGGAUGGUUUCGAAAACCAUUAGUGGGUGUAUGCCCAGCCAGGGUUCAAAUCCCUGCUUCUCCGCCA